rnacentral:lncRNA from 1 species
UUUUUUAACAACCUAAGUGAUUGACAACCUAGUGUUUUAUCAGGUGGGGUAUGGACAAGUACACAAUUCGCAUCCUUGCACUAUCCCUCGUGUCUCUACAGCUCGUAUGCUCUCCUACUGUUGUACAAUGUAAGCAUACCAAUCAAUUUUUAUUUCUUCACUUCUCUUGGAAGUCUAUAUGUAGUACAGCUAGUAAGGAGGGUUUUUUUGUUUAAUCUCUUGUGUGUUUAUUUAUUCUACUCUAAAGUAUACAAUUGGAUAACAAUUGAAUAUUUGUUUGUUAUUCCAUAGGCCGAAUCAUGGUUGACAUGGAUAUCGAGAAGAUCAAUUUACCAAACGGACUAUGCGCUCACGAGAGUUGGAUUCAUUGCGGCGCUCAUGGACUAUGCGACUGUUGUUUGGUAGAUUCGAUCUGCUAGUCGACCAUGGAUGAGUGCACGAGGGAGUGUAAAAAAUCCUCGUCUUCAAAAGACAUACUACGGGCCAGGACAUCCCCUCCUCCUUUACCCGCUCCUUAAUUUUCCAGCCUAGUCAAAUUGCUUACAUGCAUAUUUACUGUCCUGGGAAAUGAAAAUAAUGCCUAGUAUAUGUGAGGAAAUACAGUUGUGCAAUAAGAUCGAGUAAUACUCUAGCAAUUGUUGUUGAGUAUUUGGUUUGGCAAAUUGCAUCUAACCUUUUGCCAAUUAUUGCGGGCUAAGUUCUAGUAAUAAUGCAACCUAGGUACAAUGUGAG